GAUACGGCUGUUUUUUAAAUGAACACUUUCGGCUGCAGCAGGUUUUAGUGAACCUCUACAAGAGUUAAGGUGAUUUUUGAACAGGGCAGCCUCCUGAGAUCAGGACAUCUACAUUUUUCACCAUUAACUGAGGUUGAAAGACGGUCACAGCAGAUGGCAGAGAGAGAGGCAUUUGUCCAGAUAUUAUCCAAAGAACCACAAUCAUUCCUUUGAGCUGUACCUGUGUCAACUUUGAUGCAGGCCUUGUGAGUAACUUCAACCCUUCCUGCUGUUAAUACCAGGAUGAUGGUUUUGUUUCAGCACGACACGUAUCUGAACUAACCUGUUUAUACUGUAAGCGGGGCACAAAAGUCAAAAUUCGACAGAUGGGCCUGAAUCAGCCAAACUGAGCUGGACCCCACAAUUGCACUCAUGCCCUGGAU